rnacentral:rRNA from 1 species
CAGUCGCCGCGGUAAUACGUAGGUGGCAAGCGUUGUCCGGAAUUAUUGGGCGUAAAGGGCGCGUAGGCUGGUCUUUAAGUGAGUGGUGAAAGGUUCGGGCUCAACCCGGACACUGCCUUUCAUACUGGGGACCUUGAGUGUGGGAGAGGCGAGUGGAAUGGUCGGUGUAGCGGUGAAAUGCGUAGAUAUCGAUCGGAACACCCAUGGCGAAGGCAGCUCGCUGGCCUAACACUGACGCUGAGGCGCGAAAGCGUGGGGAGCAAACAGGAUUAGAUACCCCAGUAGUCCCUGUCUCUUAUAC